GAUGAACGCUGGCGGCGUGCCUAAUACAUGCAAGUCGAGCGAACAGACGAGGAGCUUGCUCCUCUGACGUUAGCGGCGGACGGGUGAGUAACACGUGGAUAACCUACCUAUAAGACUGGGAUAACUUCGGGAAACCGGAGCUAAUACCGGAUAAUAUAUUGAACCGCAUGGUUCGAUAGUGAAAGACGGUUUUGCUGUCACUUAUAGAUGGAUCCGCGCCGCAUUAGCUAGUUGGUAAGGUAACGGCUUACCAAGGCAACGAUGCGUAGCCGACCUGAGAGGGUGAUCGGCCACACUGGAACUGAGACACGGUCCAGACUCCUACGGGAGGCAGCAGUAGGGAAUCUUCCGCAAUGGGCGAAAGCUUGACGGAGCAACGCCGCGUGAGUGAUGAAGGUCUUCGGAUCGUAAAACUCUGUUAUUAGGGAGGAACAAAUGUGUAAGUAACUAUGCACGUCUUGACGGUACCUAAUCAGAAAGCCACGGCUAACUACGUG
rnacentral:rRNA from 1 species